rnacentral:rRNA from 1 species
UUUAGAUGUAAAUUUUUAGUUAAAUUAGUAUUAGUUAUUUUCUUGAAAAUUAAAAAAUUUGGCGGUAUUUUAGUCUUUUUAGAGGAACCUGUUUCUUAAUUGAUAAUCCACGAUAUAUUUUACUUUAAUUUUAAAUUUAUAUAUCAUCGUAAUUAAUAAUUUUUAAGAAUUUAUUAUUAUUUUUUAUAAAAAUAAAAAUCAGAUCAAGAUAUAGUUUAUAUUAAAGAAGAUAAUGGGUUACAUUAAUUUUAUUUAGAUGGAUUUUAUUUUGAGAUAUAUAAAUGAAAGUGGAUUUAAAAGUAAUUUUUUUUAAUUUAUAAAAAUGAUUUUUAGCUCUGAAAUAUGU